rnacentral:lncRNA from 1 species
AGAUACAAACAAUACCUCUGAUGCAACUCAACCUCGAGAUAAAUUUGAAGAUGCCAGUGAACAAAAGUUGCAGGAAAGUAAUUUAGUUGCAACCAUCAAUUUCUUAAGUUUAGAAUUUACAAUAUCAUUUCAGAUUAAACCAAUCACUUAUUCGAUAGGUAAACACAGUGUUUUUUAUUUUUUACGGGAUAGUCACUUAACUCAAAAUGCAGCUCAAAAAAUAAAAGCUUGGUUUCAUAAGGAUGGAUCUGGAAGGCUGGUUAUUGAAGCAAGUUUUUCAAAUAUAAUACAAACAAAGUUCACCACUAAUGAUUCUCUCCCUCUGAACAAAUGGUCAUCUAUUAAAUUAGUUCGAACCAAAAGCUCAUCGGUUGAUAAAACUAGAAUUAUUGUCUAUCUUAAUGAAAAACUUGUUUUCAAUGAUGAGGCAGGAGCAGAAACGUUUGAAUUUGUUAGAGUUUAUUUUGGUGAUCCAUGGAACCGUGUUCAAAAUGGCUACAUUAAAGAUUUGAAAAUUUACAAUAACUAAUAUGUUUUCGAAAGUUUCUAGAACAUUGUCGAAGCUAUCGAAACAUCUACUUUGCUGAUGUCACCCUCAAAAUAAUAUCUUAAAUGAGUUUUGUAAAUUAUUCGAUGUAAAACGCGUUAUCUUCAAAUACGCU